rnacentral:rRNA from 1 species
UUAUCAGUACAAAUAAUAUGCUGGUGAGCUAAGGCCACACUAAAGGACAAAAAGACCCUCUGAAGCUUAUAUGAGGGAUAAAAUGUAGUACACAUCCAGGCGUUUAUUAAGCUGAUGGCGAACAAGAAGCGAGGCGCUGACGCCUAAGAGCCAGAUUGAUCCUGCAUGAGCACUGCUGACUGUUUAAUUUGGGAAAAUGA